AAAUAUAUAUACAUAAAUUAUUCCAACAAUUAUACUAUUACCAAUGACAUGAUUCUCUAAAAAUUAUAUAAUCUGAAUCCACAUGACUAACUACAGCCUACUCAUCAGCCUCAUUACCCUACUAUUUUUUAACCAAUUCAAUGAUAACUCACCUAACUUCUCAUUAAUCUUCUCUUCUGAUCCAGAAGAUAAACCCUUUACUCCCUAUAUUUGCUAAUCACAACACAACGAGGAACACUUGUAUAUUACAUUAAUAAUAUUAAACCUUCUUUUACACGAGAAGAUACAUUAAUACUUAUACAUUUUGCACCUAUCUUCCUAUUAUCCUUAAACCCUAAAAUUAUUAUGGG
rnacentral:lncRNA from 1 species